GUCAAGGUGGUGGAGUGGUUAACACGUUCGCCUGCUAUUACCUCGGUAAGCUGUUUAGCGGAUGCCUUCGGGCGCGCAGGUUCGAAUCCUGUCCUUGACG